CUCGGUGUGGCGCAGUCUGGUAGCGCAUCUGGUUUGGGACCAGAGGGUCGGGAGUUCGAAUCUCUCCACCGAGACCA
rnacentral:tRNA from 1 species